rnacentral:lncRNA from 1 species
CAGCAAUACAGUGAGGCCCUGACUCUAACUAAUAAAAAAUUUAAAAGGGGGGCUGGGAAUGUGGCUUAGUGGUUAAAUGCCUCUAGGUUCAACCCCAGUUGAGGAACAGUUCAAAGAGUACCUGACUUGUAUUCCUCAAAACUGGGGAACACUGGGGUUAUGUUAUAGCUCAGUGGCAGAACAUUUGCCUCACAUGUACCAGGCCCUGGGUUGGGAUAUAGCCCAACCAUGUCCUUCAGGCCACAGGGUCUGGCUCCAGUUACCUUCUCCCUCAGGCUCUCACUUGAGUCACAUGGCCCUGUCCAUCAUCACAGACAUCUAGCCUCACUGGGCCUAAACUAUAGAUCUUCCUAGCUUGCAGAAUCAUUCCUUUUCCUUCGAGUAGCUUCCUGUUGUGGUCCUCUGAGAGGUUUCCCCACCUCCCUGAAGCCCAGCUGUUGUCAGUCUCUCUUGGCCCUUUGUUCAAUCACAGUUCACUGUCACCUGCAGUAUUUUUUGCCACCUUGAGAAAGAGUAGGGCCUUAAGACCCUUACCAGACACAGAUCAGCUGAGUAUCCAUAUUUCUUUUUUUUUUUUUGAGAUGGGAUCUCACUAUGUUGCCCAAGGCAGUAUUGAACUUGACCUCCUGGGCUCCAGUGAUCCUCCAUCUCAGCCUCCCAAAUGCUGGAACUACAGAUAUAUGCCACCAAGCCUGGUAAGGAACCAGAUUUCAAACCCAGGUCUUCCAUCUCCUGAUUAUCUCAACCCUCCAUACACCCAGGAGUCAUGAGGUUCCUGCUGUGGGUCAGCUCCUGUCCUAGGUAUGCUGACACAAGGAUGCACACACAGUUGGAUCCCUACCUUUUCAGGCAAGCAGGGGAAGAAGUGAACAAGUGUCACACAGCGCUACAGGAUGCACAGGAAGGGCAUCUAACCCAGACUGGGAGCAUCCAAGCCGUCCCAAGGGAAAUGACACCUGAGCGGUGUCUUAAGACGCCUGACAAGCUGGAUGUUCUGGUACAAGAACCAGCAUGUAAAAAUCAGAUAAGAGUGAGACCUAUGCUGAGAACCACAUAUGGUUCAGUGUGGCUGAAAGGCUUUGGGGAUGGUGUCCUGCAGAAGAGAAAAGAGCCCAGGGCAUGAGGACCUUGUGGCUACUAUUAUUACUUAAUAUUAAGGUAAGUGCAGUGGCUCACACCUGUGAUCCCAAAACUCAGGAGGCUGAAGCAGG